GAUGAACGCUAGCGGGAGGCCUAACACAUGCAAGCCGAGCGGUAUUUGUCCUUCGGGACAGAGAGAGCGGCGUACGGGUGCGGAACACGUGUGCAGCCUGCCUUUAUCUGGGGGAUAGCCUUUCGAAAGGAAGAUUAAUACCCCAUAAUAUAUCGAAUGGCAUCAUUCGAUAUUGAAAACUCCGGUGGAUAGAGAUGGGCACGCGCAAGAUUAGAUAGUUGGUGAGGUAACGGCUCAGCAAGUCAGUGAUCUUUAGGGGGCCUGAGAGGGUGAUCCCCCACACUGGUACUGAGACACGGACCAGACUCCUACGGGAGGCAGCAGUGAGGAAUAUUGGACAAUGGGUGAGAGCCUGAUCCAGCCAUCCCGCGUGAAGGACUAAGGCCCUAUGGGUUGUAAACUUCUUUUAUACUGGGAUAAACCUACUUACGUGUAAGUAGCUGAAGGUACAGUAUGAAUAAGCACCGGCUAACUCCG
rnacentral:rRNA from 1 species